rnacentral:misc_RNA from 1 species
CUCUCCAUAUCAAUGUUGCAGUUAGUGACUGCCAUAGGAUGAGUCAUGGCCACCUUGUUCAAAGUGCGGACUGCUGCAAAUCUCAGCACAGGUUUGGAAGAACUCAAAAAGAGCUGGAGAACAGUGAUUGCUGGAGUCAGUUCUCGGCUUGUCACUCCACUAAGCUCUGUAAUAGCUCUAGCAGCCUCAAAAAUCACCAUCUCAGCCUU